rnacentral:rRNA from 1 species
UACGGAGGGGGCGAGCGUUAUUCGGAAUUAUUGGGCGUAAAGGGCGCGUAGGCGGCUGUACAAGUCAAAGGUGAAAUCCCUCGGCUCAACUGAGGAACUGCCUUUGAAACUGUACGGCUUGAGGCCGGGAGGGGGUAGCGGAAUUCCCAGUGUAGCGGUGAAAUGCGUAGAUAUCCGGAGGAACACCAGUGGCGAAAGCGGCCACCUGGACUGCACCUGACGCUGACACGCGAAAGCUAGGGGAGCGAACGGG